rnacentral:rRNA from 1 species
AUGGUCAUGGAGUCCGAGCCACACCCUGGUAAUGGUCAUGAACCACAAAAUACAGCAAGUCAGCAACAACAACAUCAGUAUGAUGACCAAACACCGAGUAGUGCUGAUGAAGCAAAGUUUCUAUGGAAACUGAGGAAGUACUUGAUCCUGCUGGCAACUUUAUCGGCCACUAUCACCUACCAGGCGGGGCUGGCACAACCGGGUGGUCUCUGGCCAGAUAACCAGCAAGGCUACCUUGCCAGUGACGUUGUCAUGUUUCUUAGCCGCACCAAGCGGUACAGGAUGUUCUUCUACUGCAUUCAUUACAUCCUUCAUUGUUCUGAUCCUGAUCCUGGUCAGGGAGCUGAGACAGAAUGCAAUGGCUCCGUUCGCUGCAGUUUGCGCUGCUGCUUGACCUGCUCGGACUUGUGGGGGCCUAUGCUGCCGGGAACCGCAGGGAGGUCAGAACAUCCGUUUGUAUCUGGGUAUUACUUGUUGGCAUCUUCACGUAUGUUGGACUUCAUGUAG